AACGAACGCUGGCGGCAGGCCUAACACAUGCAAGUCGAGCGCCCUUUCGGGGGCGCGGCGGACGGGUGAGUAACGCGUGGGAAUAUGCCCUUCUCUACGGAAUAGCCUCGGGAAACUGAGAGUAAUACCGUAUACGCCCUAUGGGGGAAAGAUUUAUCGGGGAAGGAUUAGCCCGCGUUGGAUUAGGUAGUUGGUGGGGUAAUGGCCUACCAAGCCGACGAUCCAUAGCUGGUUUGAGAGGAUGAUCAGCCACACUGGGACUGAGACACGGCCCAGACUCCUACGGGAGGCAGCAGUGGGGAAUCUUAGACAAUGGGGGCAACCCUGAUCUAGCCAUGCCGCGUGAGUGAUGAAGGCCUUAGGGUUGUAAAGCUCUGUCAGCUGGGAAGAUAAUGACGGUACCAGCAGAAGAAGCCCCGGCUAACUCCGUG
rnacentral:rRNA from 1 species